GCCUACGGGGGGCAGCAGUGGGGGAUAUUGCACAAUGGGGGGAACCCUGAUGCAGCGACGCCGCGUGAGCGAAGAAGUACCUCGGUAUGUAAAGCUCUAUCCGCAGGGAAGAAAAUGACGGUACCUGACUAAGAAGCCCCGGCUAAAUACGUGCCAGCAGCCGCGGUAAUACGUAUGGGGCAAGCGUUAUCCGGAUUUACUGGGUGUAAAGGGAGCGUAGGUGGCAGGGCAAGUCAGAUGUGAAAACCCGGGGCUCAACCCCGGGAGUGCAUUUGAAACUGUCCAGCUGGAGUGCAGGAGAGGUA
rnacentral:rRNA from 1 species